CCUACGGGAGACAGCAGUAGGGAAUAUUGCUCAAUGGGGGAAACCCUGAAGCAGCAACGCCGCGUGGAGGAUGAAGGUUUUCGGAUUGUAAACUCCUUUUGUUAGAGAAGAUAAUGACGGUAUCUAACGAAUAAGCACCGGCUAACUCCGUGCCAGCAGCCGCGGUAAUACGGAGGGUGCAAGCGUUACUCGGAAUCACUGGGCGUAAAGAGCGCGUAGGCGGGAUAGCAAGUCAGACGUGAAAUCCUAUGGCUUAACCAUAGAACUGCAUUUGAAACUGUUAUUCUAGAGUGUGGGAGAGGUAGGUGGAAUGCUUGGUGUAGGGGUAAAAUCCGUAGAGAUCAAGAGGAAUACUCAUUGCGAAGGCGACCUGCUAGAACAUAACUGACGCUGAUGCGCGAAAGCGUGGGGAGCAAACAGGAUUAGAUACCCUAGUAGUC
rnacentral:rRNA from 1 species